rnacentral:rRNA from 1 species
AGUCGAACGGGGAAUUAGCAAUAAAUUCUUAGUGGCGAACGGGUGAGUAACGCGUGGAUAACCUACCUUUCAGACGGGGACAACAUUCCGAAAGGAGUGCUAAUACCGGAUGAGCUGACCGCAGCGCAUGCAGCGGUUAAGAAAGAUGGCCUCUUUACAAUGCUAUCGCUGAAAGAUGGGUCUGCGUCUGAUUAGCUGGUUGGCGGGGUAAAGGCCCACCAAGGCGACGAUCAGUAGCCGGUCUGAGAGGAUGAACGGCCACACUGGGACUGAGACACGGCCCAGACUCCUACGGGAGGCAGCAGUGGGGAAUCUUCCGCAAUGGACGAAAGUCUGACGGAGCAACGCCGCGUGAGUGAAGAAGGUUUUCGGAUCGUAAAGCUCUGUUCUUAGGGACGAACGGCUGAAGCGUGAAUAAUGCUUUGGAUUGACGGUACCUAAGGAGAAAGCCACGGCUAACUACGUGCCAGCAGCCGCGGUAAUACGUAGGUGGCGAGCGUUGUCCGGAAUUAUUGGGCGUAAAGGGCGUGUAGGUGGAAUGGUAAGUCUGUUGUAAAAGUGCGGGGCUCAACCCCGUGAAGCAAUGGAAACUGUCGUUCUUUGAGUGCAGGAGAGGAAAAGUGGACUUCCCAGUGUAGCGGGUGAAAUGCGUAGAU